AUGAGUUAUCUGGAAAAGCCUCCGUACUUGGAAAGCAACACAGGCAGAAUGGCUUCCUCGCUCCCUGUGCCAGCCUCAGAGCCGGAGCAGACACCAUCUGGGACGAACGAACGGGUGACCGUCUCUUGGGAAGGAGCGGUGGGCACCUGCCCAGCCCCCAGCCCCUUGUGGGAGGGGCCCCAAGAGGCAGGAAGCUCCGGGCUCAUCCUCAGCCACCCCAGUGGCAGAUCAUCUGCGGGGAGGGGGUCUGUGCACCGUGGGAGAGAAGCCAGAAAACUCCCUACCCCUCUCCCCCGGCAGCCCGCCAGCCCCACCUCAUUCAAAAUGAACCUGGCGACCCUGCCAGACCACCUGCCCGCCUCGCCCCAGGGAGGGAGCACAGGGUUUCAGGCCACACGGGCCCUGGACCCCAUCAUGGACCCUGACCAUCCCUGCAGGCGGAAUCCUGAGCCAACCCUGGGACCCCUGCCCCCACGGGUGCAUGCCCCGUGGGACCCCUUUCCCUUUCAGGUGAGUGGAGCUGUGGAGGGCGGUGGGAGCGGGGCGGGGAGGAUGAGGGACUGGGUCCAUCCCCAAGGGCGAGAGUCCGAGCUGCCCGGGGAAGGGCCCAGCAGCAGGGACGGACCAGCAGAGAGACGCGACCGCAGCCUCCAACUGCAGGGAGCCAAUUUCUGCCGACCACCUCGGCACACCCUCCAUGCCACCCCGCCAACACCGUGCCACAGCCUCGGAGACCCACAGACUCCUGAAGCUAACAAGCAGCUGUUGUUUGAAGCCCCGGAUGUGCAAGGAUGCACAAGAGACCCCCUCCGUGGACACCAUUUCUGGGGUGUGUCACAGCCCCCCCAGCAGGGGAAGGGGAGGGCACUCUGCCCCCUUCUAGUUCCUGGGGGGGGGUCUCCAUGGGGAGUAGGAGGAGCCUUAAGGAAUUUUUCAGUAAUCCACCUCUUCUUUCCCCAUGUCUGGGUGGGCUUCUCGCAGAAGGGAGUGGCCAGCACCUUCCUGCUGCGAUUACAGUCACCCCAGAGGCGCCCUUGCUCCCACCUGAGUGCAAGGACCAAGCAUCUGGGGCGGGGGCCACUUGGUCAAAUGAAGCCAGUUGUUUCUCGGGUCCCAGGAAGGAUCUGCAAGUUUGCCCUAGAGGAGCUGCUGUCUCUCUCCAACAAUCUGAAACGCUGUUAG
rnacentral:lncRNA from 1 species